CAACCGUGGAAGGAAAGUGUUGUUGAAAGAAACGAUUGAUGACCACUUCUCAAAAAAUUAUCGCAUUUAAUUUUAAUAGAAUCAAUAAUAUCACGAUUUUAUUAAAUGUUGAAUUUCGAAUAUUUACAUCCAGUCUUCAAGACUUUGGUAUACAUAUUCAUUUAUAUGAACAUAGCCAAUAUAGUAUAGUAACAACCAAAUUUAUCAGCCACAUUAUGGUACUCAGGAAGUUUUUCUGGUUGCUUAGAUUGAACUAUGUUAAAGUUUUGUAAGUAUUAACUUGUUAACAAUAAUACAAAAGUUUGUGCUCUAUCUUUUUCUAUAAGAAUUUCCUCAACUUGCACAUAAUUUUUUUGAUUGGGAGCUGUAUGUUACAAUUCCAUUUAUUAGCAGAAAUAAAAAAAACAUAUGUAUUAGUGAAA